rnacentral:rRNA from 1 species
GACGAACGCUGGCGGCGUGCUUAACACAUGCAAGUCGAACGGAAAGGCCCCUUUGGGGGUACUCGAGUGGCGAACGGGUGAGUAACACGUGAGUAACCUGCCCUUGACUUCGGGAUAACUUCAGGAAACUGGGGCUAAUACCGGAUAGGAAUCCUUGCUGCAUGGUGGGGGUUGGAAAGCUUCGGCGGUUUUGGAUGGACUCGCGGCUUAUCAGCUUGUUGGUGGGGUAGUGGCUUACCAAGGCUUUGACGGGUAGCCGGCCUGAGAGGGCGACCGGCCACAUUGGGACUGAGAUACGGCCCAGACUCCUACGGGAGGCAGCAGUGGAGAAUAUUGCACAAUGGGCGGAGGCCUGAUGCAGCAACGCCACGUGCGGGAUGACGGCCUUCGGGUUGGAAACCGCUUUCAGCAGGGGCGAAGCUUGUGGUGACGGUACCUGCAGAAGAAGCACCGGCUAACUACGUG